UACGAAGGGGGGCUAGCGUUGCUCGGAAUUACUGGGCGUAAAGCGCACGUAGGCGGAUCUUUAAGUCAGGGGUGAAAUCCUGGAGCUCAACUCCAGAACUGCCUUUGAUACUGAGGACCUUGAGUUCGGGAGAGGUGAGUGGAACUGCGAGUGUAGAGGUGAAAUUCGUAGAUAUUCGCAAGAACACCAGUGGCGAAGGCGGCUCACUGGCCCGAUACUGACGCUGAGGUGCGAAAGCGUGGGGAGCAAACAGG
rnacentral:rRNA from 1 species